UAGUGCAGCCGGUAGUGAAGCCGGUUGUGAUGUUGCAACAGGAGAUUGUCCAUCUAGCCUGGAGCAGUUAAUCCAUAACGUUGUUGAAUAUAAAAAUUCACAUUUAGAUUUGGAUGAUGAAUUGCGGUGCAUGGAUAAGUGAGUUGCAGGCAGAAGCCAAAAGAGAAUGUGUGGAUGUAUGGACGCCACUUGGCACAGUCAGGAGACAACUAACUUAUCUUGAUGUGCUUAAAAAUACUGCAGAUAAAAACGUGUGCCGUAAUUACAGCGCCAGAGAUGUGCGAUAUCUCCACAGGCGGGAGGAUCAAAGGAUCCCCCUGCCUGGGAGCGCGGGCUGGCGCAGGGCGGUAAAACGGGCGCGAGUGCUGCAGGGUUUAAAUACCCAGCAGCACUGCGCUCGGGCAGUUCGACCCCCCCCCUGAAGGAGAGCGCAUCCUGCGCUCAGGCAGAUCGGCACCCCCCCUGAAGAUGAGCGGAUCCGGUGCUCAGAUCGGGACCCCUCCAUACAGGAGAGCGCAGGCAGCGAUGUGCUGCGCUCUGAAGAAAUCACGGCACCCCCCCAGAGAAGAGAGAGAGCGCAGGCAGCACUGAGCCCUGCACCCGGAACAGGAGCUGAGAAGAGAGUUGGAGAGCCCUGAGUAAUUGAGCCCAGAGCAGCCCAGAGGAGGAGAGCAGAAGGACGGAGCAGGAGUUCCCUGUCCUGCCUCCUCCUUAACCCUUGCUGCCCUGAACCCCUAAUCCUUUCACCCUGGGAUCUCACUGCCCCCUGCCAUUAACCCCUUCCCCCAGUGGACCCUGUAAUCUCAGCAGCAUUGCUGCUGCCCUUAACCCCUGCCCUGCUGCCCCAGUCAGCCUGCUGCCCUGCAUCUGCUCUGCAAGGCCCUGAAGAGCAUUAACCCCUUCAAUGCUCUGUUCACAGUCCCCUGCUCUGCAACUCUGCUCCCCAGCCCCCUGUUAACCCCUUCAGUGCUCUGUUCCCCUAAUCUGCCCUGAGACCCCUGAUCAACCCCUGGUUUACCCCUGAAUCGCCCCUUUCCUGCAUCCCCUGGUUAACCCAUGCUCUGCUGCUCUAUUGAGCAUGCAGCUGCUCUGCAACUGUAUUCCUUGGCCUGCAGGUAUUAACCCCUGCAGAGCCACCAUUGUGUAAUUAACCCUCUUGUAACCCCGUAGGGACAGUGAUUAGUCAGGCGGGUGGGUACUGAUAUUUGUAUGUAUGAAUGUAUUAUUGCAAUGUAUAGAUAGUAUGUGGGGUGGAAUUUGGGAAUGUGCUGUGUAGUGUAGUUAGGCUUGUAUUGUGUUUAUUGUAGUACUGUUUCUGUUCUGCGGUGUGUACGUCUAUAUGUAUAUAUAUUCAUAUCCAUUGAUCUAUGAAUAUAUAUAGAUAUAGCGUAUUGCUAGACUGGUAUAAUUGUAUUGUGUAAUAAAUAUUCCUUAUUGUUCACAAUACAGUGUAUGUUGUUUUUACUAGUCGCCGCCCUAGUAUAGUGAUAGUAAGGCGCUUGCAGUUAGUUUAGUGAUUAGUGUAAGGCAAUCAGUAGCGAUUUGUGUUUGUAAAGGCAUAAAUAGGCGGAGUCAUCAAUAGACGGCUCCUCCUACUUAUGAAUAUUAAUUAUCGAUAUUUGCAUAAAUAUUGGUGAUUAAUAUUCCCCUUUAACAUUGGCGAGCCAGGCCCACUGCUAGGAAUUUGUUUUCUGUGUUUGUUUUUGGUGACAAAAAUCGUUUAUGCUGUGAACUAGUCAGGCGGGAGGGACGCGUUCAGUGGAUUCUGAGCGUCCAUUGCCUGAUAGUUCGUACAGGUAUAGCGUUUUGUUCAAUCAGAACCAAACACAGAGCAAUCUCUACAGCAGAGAAUUUAAAUCUUUCUGAUUUGUGUAUUAACGAUUUUCCGAUUGCCUUGCACGCCCACUGAACACUGGAGAGAAGUCGUCGCAUACGUGACUGAAGAGAGGACCAUCGCCGUUGGAGCUGAACAGAGAAGUCCGACUGAGCGGGAGAAGACGUUCCUGAUACUACAGGACCUCCUCCACGCAGCACACAAGGGACAACAAAGGACAGCACCAAGGAAGAUGACCUCUCAUCAAAACGUCACAACUUCGCCAAAUGGAAGGAUUGCCGGAUGAUGAAGAGUAAAGAGAUAACAAGGUUCCAGCUAAAGACGGAAACCCAGGAUUGGUAUAGCGCAAAAUGGCACCGAGGGUUGUUGCCAUUAUCUACAUCGUCCUGAUCUUGGGGAAGGAGUUCCAGGCCGAGCCGAUUGCUGUACCAGGCCCUUCAUCUGGGAUCAUGCUACAGGAUACCACGGGAUUCAUCUUGACGAAUAAGAGGAUUCUAUCCCAAAAGAUCUAAGUCAGUUUGGAUCCACGUGUCUUCGUCGAGAGACAGUUCAACAUUUCUGAGAUUUCGUCUCCGGAGAUAAAGAUUUGGUAUCAAAUGCACAUCGGCUAUUCCCAAGAAAGGGUUACACAGAUCCUGGAACAGACGAGGAAAACCAUGACCAGAGAACAGUUUUCAACAAGUCGACGACCAAAGCCGUUCAUUUCUUAGAUUACAGCCGCCAUAUUCUUUGCCGUAGUGGGCACUGUCAUUGCCACCGGUGUAUCAGCUGUUAAUUCCAUCUCUAUUAAGACAUUGGAACUUGAGAUCGGUUCACUGAAAAGGAACCUAAUGAGUAUUCAUGCAGAGAUGGAGAAACAGAAAAAACAUUUAUCGGACUUAUAUUCCGUUGUAGAGAAUACUGUCGUCACCACCAACUUUCACUCAAAGUUAUUGACUCAUUCAAUGAAUCUUCAUGAGAGUCACGAACAGUUUAAACAAGAACUAAUGUCUCUGAAGACUCUGAAUGAAAAGCCCUUUGUGACAUUCCAAUAUAACCCAACUUCUCUAUUGGAUUGCAUUGUAAUGAAGGGGGAUUUUGUUGUGCUUUUUCAUAAGUUUAAACAGUUAUAUUUACUUAUUUUAGUUAUAAUGGGUAUUCAUUGCCUUUAAGAGCAAUGUUGAUUUAUAUUCACUGUUUUGUAUGAAGUUUCA